rnacentral:lncRNA from 1 species
AAAUCAGUUACAUAAAUUGAACUAAGAGCACAAAAAGUCAGUACAAUUAUCACCACUCUCAAGAAAAAGAAAAAAAAAACACGGUAAACUUGAUGAGGUAUACAGUAUACUCAAUGCUUCUGAUGUUGGAACUGCCUUAAGUAUAAAGAAGACUGGGUACAUAACAUUAUUUGACGUGUUUAAGACUCACAUGAAUUUAUAAAUUACCUUUUUAUUUUUUAUAUCAAUAUUUAUGAAUGAAUGUAUGUAAACAGCAGGUUUGACUGUCUACUUUUAUUAACAAUAUCAUUCAAAUUACUGCAGAAAAGAAAAGGGCUUUUACAAACCAUAAAUAGAAGGCAAUAUCACACCCUAUCCUGAUUAAAUUAUUAUCUUACAAAUCAGAAGAUGCAGAAUUGCAAACUUAAACCAGAAUCUGUAUCACUGUGGGGCUGGUGGACUACCAUUAGUAUCUACUGCUGUGAGAAACAGACGAUAGUACUGAGAAACAUAAGAGAAGAUGUGCGGUAGAGAACUAAACAUCACAAAAUAUACAUUAUCCUACCUACUCCAUAGUACUAAGAAAAAAAUUAUAUAAAAACCGGAGAUUCAAGUUUUACAAGUACAGCAGUUACGUGGCAACAUAAACAGCUACAAUAAUGAAAGUAGUAAACAAUUGUAUUGCAGCUUGGCUGAACGGACAGGGACAAAAUGGAUUAGAAAUCAGGAUAUAUUUGAAUAGGAUAUGUUGGAGUACAAAAUUGCUAAUUGCUACUUAAGCAGUAGUGCAUUAGUAUCAGGUUCAGUUAUAUGCCCAAAAGUGAGGACCAUUAAAAACAAUGUGUCUGUUCUCUAAGGUUACCCCAAAGCUAAGUAAAGUAAAAUCUAUCACGAAGUAUAUCUCAAUUUGAUUAGAGAAAUCCUUUGUUGAUAUGAAGUUUCUAAACCAGCAUGUGCUGCCUGGUUUCAACCAAGUGUCCAUAAGCAAACAAUUAUUAAGACAUUUCAAUCUAUGUUAACUAACACCACACACACGAGACGUAACAGAGAACACACAACAAACACCUUCCCCCAAAUUAUUAACAAGUCUUUUCUAAAGGAUUAUAAUCAUAUAAAAGCGCGCGAACCAGAUGCAGAUUACAAUUAGUUAGCAGUUAAAAUCAAAUCGUGAAAAAACGAAUUACCGGGGAAGUACUUGCCAACGAUACGAAAGAUACGAUUUCCAGACUUAUCGAAACCGGGUUGAAGAGACAAGAAGUGCAAGGCGUCAAGGUGUGAGAAGUAUUGAAGAUCAUCAGGAGCAAUAUCAUGGUCCAGCUGAGUAGGGCAAUCGUGCCACUUAUCUUGUAAGAAUGGACGAGCGUCUACGCCCAAAUCAGAUGCCAAGACAAAUACUGAGAAAUCGUCCGCGGAUGAUGAACUCGCCAUCACUGCCCAAUUUCAACACUCCUCGAAUGGUCCAACACUCGUAGAUAUUUUGAGCUUUAAGAAAAUUCCAUAAAACUAACACAAUUUUUAUAUAUUUACACAAGAGUAUCAUUUUUAAAAAUUAUGAUUAAAAAUAUCACAACAACUUCCCGUCUUCUUUUACAUGUUUAUUUUGGUUAAUUCACCAAAUUUUGACUAAACAUUACAUGUAAUUCAUUAUUUUUGAAAUAUGAAUAUUAAGUAUUAAAAUAGACUAAGUAUACAUUUUAAAGAUAUAAUUUUUAUUAUUUUUAUCAAUUUUAUGAUGUAUGAAAAUUUCAGUCAAAAUAUAAUCAAUUUGACUGAUCAAAAGUCAAAAUGAACAUGUAAAAGGGGAAGGGGGAGUACGAGAUAGUCCCAUUUAUAUAUAUAUAUAUAUUUGUUAUCUAUAAUUCUUUAGUGAGGGAAUAAUUACGAAAAGAUGAUUAUGGAAUGAUCGUUGAGAGUAAACAUGAACAUUUGGUGUUUUAUAAGAAUAAGAAUAAGAAUUGUGGGAUUAAUAGAUGAAAUNACACGGUAAACUUGAUGAGGUAUACAGUAUACUCAAUGCUUCUGAUGUUGGAACUGCCUUAAGUAUAAAGAAGACUGGGUACAUAACAUUAUUUGACGUGUUUAAGACUCACAUGAAUUUAUAA